AGAACUGAAAUCCCAAUAUGCUCCUACAAACAUUUUCAAUGCAGAUGAGGCAGGCUUGUUUUACAAGGACACUGGCAGUCAAAGGCGAGAGCUGCAACGGAGGAAAACAAAGUAAACAAUGUGUGACAGUGCUGUUAUGUGCUAUCAGUGAUGGGAGUGAAGAGCUCCACCCACUUAUAUCAGGAAAUUUGCUAAGCCCCAUUGUUUUUAGAACAUUGUCACUUUUUCCACAAAAUACACUAGUAACAAGAAAUCAUGGAUUACAACAAAAGUUUUCGAAAGCUGGCUUUAAAGUGUUGAUUUGAAAAUAGGUGCAGGAGGCCAGAAGAUUUUAUUGUUCGUAGACAGGUGUGUAGCACAUCCUCCCCUUACUUCCUAUUUGAGAAAUGUGACCAUGGAAUUCUUUCCAGCGAAUUGCAAGAGUGAGCUCCAGCCACUUGACCUUGAAGUUGCUCUAUUGCAAAAUGCUCAUGCAGCAUGAUAUCAGGUGUGUAAACAUUGAAAAAAAGGAAGAAAUGAAAUUAAACAUUUUACAGGUAAGAUUUUUACUUGCCAUUUAUUUCAUGUCAUGCUACUGGAGCCAAAGAACACUUCGAGAAAUUAUUAAUGAAUUUGUUUCUUUUGAUAGGCAAUGCACUACAUUGCAGCUUCAUGGCACAGAGUUUCAGACAAUACCAUUUGGAACUGUUUCUGAAAAGCCGGAUUUGGAAAUGAAGUCCACGAUCAUGGUGGAAAUGAUCAUACUGACGGUAUUUCACCUAAUGAUGGAGAAUGGAAUUGACUUGAAGAGCAGGCAUCAUUUGAGAAUUAUGUGAAUGUCGAUGAAAACCUUGUCACUACAGAACCUGUGACUAUCGCUGAGAUAGUUCAGUGUGCAUCGCGGGACCUGAAUGAGGAAGAAACUGACGAUGGGGAUGAUACAGAAGAGCCUCAGCAUUCCUCCGUGACGUUUAACGAUGCAGUAAAUGCGUUAGAAAUAAUUGACGCGCCACAAUGUUUCUGAUGAAAUAAUGACAGAGCUAUCCUGUUUUGAGGGCACAGUCUACACUAUUGCUGCGUCAAAAAAUACAAGCAAAAAUUGUGGGCUUUUUUACGAAAUGUUUUUUCUGUGUAGAGGUUUACAUUUCUCUUUAUGUCUUCAUUAUGUAUGGUACCUAGUAAGUCUAUAUAACGUUUUGUAGAAUGUAACUUUUUAUUUUGAAGAGUCCAGAGGAAAAACCUGAUAAGUCUAAAAUUCCAAAGUUUCUGGGUCAUUUUUUUCAUAAUUUAAUAGACCAGCCAGUAUAAUUAUAGCUUGUUUUACAGAACUGGUCUAAAACCUGAUGAGUCAAGAGAUAUUCUGAUAUCUUGUAAGCAUGUGCAGGCGAAAAACAUUAUAAGUCCAUGCAAAACAGGGGAAUAUCCUGACAAGUCCAGAGAAUGCAACGAUAAAAUUUUAUGAUUUAAUGAUUCCCAGACCGCGCAGGUCUGUUUUCACUAAUGUUAUCAUUGUUUUAUCAUUGUUGCCACAGUCAUUGUUGUGUACAAGUUGACCAUUGUUGUUAGCUUUGUGGAGUUUGUGAAGGAAGUUAGAUCUAGCAUUGUAUUCUGUCAGUGUAAAAUGAAUAAAGAAGACAGUGACUCAUCUACUUGCGAAGAAAACUACAGAAUGUCAUCAAAGAAGCCGACAAAGAAAAGGAAGAAGUAUGGCCGCAUUAGAGAUGCUUCCAAACGUUUUAAGAUUGCCGUCACAUGAAACAGGAGAACCAUGUAAGUGCAAAAACAAUUGUCAUGGUAUUGUCAGUGAUGAAAAUAUUAUUAACAGCAUGAACCACUUUCAAAAUCAUGAUGAAAUAAACCUCUGUUCAAGUGGUUUAAUCGCGGUGGUCCCUGUACAGCGCAGGCGUCUUAGAAGAGAGAAGAGCAGGAAGCAAAGUUUCGUGAUGCAUCAUAUAAAUUCAGUGUUUGUAUUACCAUUAAUGGAAGUAUCCAAGAAGUACAUGUGUGCAAGCAAGCAUUUAUGUCAUUACAUGGAAUAAAGAAGGCCAAGGUAGAUUAUUUACUGAAGAAACUUAAAUCUGGAGACCAACCUCUACAAGACGGCCGAGGGAAACGCAGAUCCAGCCCACAGGCUUUGAAAGAUGAAACACGUGCAAUAAUAAGAGCACACAUUAAAUCAUUUAAAGGCCCCAUAGCCACUACAGUUUGACGAAGUCAGAAAAAAUUUACCUACCAGAGUCUUUUAAUAUUAAAAAAAUGUUCCAUAUGUUCAAUGAGAAGUUUUAGGAUCAGAAUGUGCCGUAUGAAACAUACCACACUAUAUUCAAUUCAGAUUUCAAUAUAAGUUUUGGAUAUCCACGAUCUGAUACUUGUGGCUCCUGCGAUGAGUAUCUAGCCAAGAAGAAAAGUUUGGAGAAGGAACUGAUUUUAACAUCAUCUGGUGAAAAUAAAGUAAGGCUUCAUUCCGAACUUCGAUCCAAUGAAAUAGUUCAUGAAUUGCAUCUCAGAAAACAAAGUGUUCUAUGACAGGAAAGAAAGGCAAAGAUGGAAUGUCAAAAAAAAAUCCAUCAAAGGUUCCAAUUACGAUGGACUAUAGCAAAAACUUUCCUUGUCCAAAUAUAAAGACAAAUGAAGUUUAUUAUAAGUGACAGCUUUCUGUAUUUAUAUUCAAUGUUCAUGUUUUGGCAACAGGGGACAGAUACUUUUACAUGUAUCCAGAGAGCACAGGCCGAAAAGGAGCAGACGAAGUUUCAUCAUUCCUUCAUCAUUUUGUGCACAAUUUUCUAAAUCCAGAAGUCAGACAUCUGGAGAUCUUCUGUGACUCCUGCGGAGGGCGAAACAAGAAUGCCACUGUGUUCAGAUUCCUUCACCAUCUGGUCCAUACAGAAAAACAAUUGGACUAUGUUAUGAUGACAUUCCCCAUAAGAGGUCAUUCGUACCUCAAAUGUGACAAAAAUAUUGGUAUGAUAGACCAAACUCAGGAAUGUCAAAUUCCAAAGGACUGGUGUUAGGUUUUUCAGAAUUUACACACACUCUCUUCGCCUUUUGUUAUCAUUGAUGUUGAGGAGCAACGAGAGAUAAUCAAAUCUGGAUAAUACAAUGUACAAGAAGAAACUUCCUUUCCAAUCCAGGCCAAUAAGAGAAUUGGAAGUCACACAACACCAUGCAGCACUGGUUCGGUAUAGAGGAAGCUACAGUGAAGCAUAUGAGCAAGCUUCAUUACUUCUUCAUGGAAAGAAAGGGCAAGAUUCCAGCCUAAAAGAAGGUGAUCUUAAAAUAUCUGCUGAGAAAUACAGAGAUUUACAAGACUUGAAAAGAUUUUGCCGUACUGAAGUGCAAGUGUAUUUUGAUUGUCUUUUGCAUUAAUCCACUAUCGAAAAAGCACAGGACCUUUUAUAGAAGAUUAUUAAAUGAUUAUAUGAGAUAAUUUGUUGUAACAUGAAUUUAAAAUCUUGUAGUUACCUGCAAUAUGUUAUGGACUUGUCAUAUUUUUCCUCUGUAUUACCUGCCUUUGUAAUAAAAAUGCAUCAUAUUAUUGUAAAUCCUAUUCAGAUGUGUAUAAUUUCAGCAGUACUCUUUCUCUGAAAGAUAUAUUAAGGUCUAAAACAAAAAUGAAGAAUAUAACUUGAAAAAUAAAAUUUUAUGACUCUUGAAACUUUAAAUUUAGUCUCCUGAAAAAAAUAAGAAUUGUGACUUAUCAGGUUUUUCCCCUGGACUCUUAUUUGUGUUUACCAAUUCAUUUUAUAGUAUGGUGCUGUAUUUCAUAUAUAUGUUUUUCACACUUACAAGUUUUUUUUUCUGUAGUCCGUUCAAAAACGUAUAAACGAAGUUUUACUGUAUAUGUGUGUCUUAUAAUGCCUACAACAGUGUUAUUUUUAACAUAUUUGUAUGACAAAACAUGAAAUGAAAUCUUAUGCUUGAAAAUGGCACAAAUUCUAAAAUUGUGACAGUGAAAUAGAAACAGUAAUAGCUAAAAGUGAUAUGUCAUUUAAAAUAUUGUAAUGAAGUGCAUAGGAAAACUACCAACUAAGCUGUGAUGGAAUUCCCCAGUAGUAGCAGUGUGCCACAAUAUCUCAUUGUUAGCAGAUGCCUUAGGCAGUACUGGAUGCGAAUAGUAUCUAGAUUGCAAGAUUCUGGAAUGUACAGACAGUCUACAUUAUAUGCCUUGAAACUCUUUGACUGUUUCUGUAUAUAUACCUCUAUAUGAAAAGAAAUGUCUAUGUAAAUAAGCAUUUAAGAUGUGUAACAUUAAUUUUAUGACGUAUGGGAUCAGAAGACAAGCAAAGGGAAAAAAUUGCUAUGUCAUGUAUUAGAGGCUUUUGAAUUGGCAGUAGAAUGUUGGAGAUGACGUGUGUGGUGGUGAUUAUGAUUUUUCAUUGGAACUUUAAUAUUAUUGCUAUUACUUGUCUCUGAUACAGAAUUUACAGGUAAAAGAAAGUAAAGCUUUGUAUUAUUGUGCAGGAUUUCAGUAAGGAAAAGACAGUGUAGGAGAUAUUUUCUUUGUGUGUGUGUGUGUGUGUGUGUGUGUGUGUGUGUGUGUGUGUGUGUAAUGACUUCAUUAUUUCUGUUACACAUACACUUCCUUUGCUCUUCAGGGAGCAAACAAAGAUGAUAUUAAAAACUGUAAAAUGUGUAUGGAGGGAGAGUGAUUAAGCCAGGAACCCUAGAAUUGUAUCUAUUUAAAUGACACAAAAACUCUUUAAGAAAAUAUCAUUUGCAUUUUAGGUGUAAAUUUUUUCUUAUUGUACCAGUGAAUGAUAAUGUCAGCUGUUAUUGAUUUUUUGUGUGCGUCCGUAUUUACAGGGCAUCACUUUCUGGUGCUCAUGUAGUAUCAGACAAAAAUGCUACUAAAACUCACCCUUUCAUGAUGGCAGUCAGCAUAAAAAAGCAGAAAGGAAGAUACAACUCAUGUUACACAUUAUCUACAAAUCUGUAAUGUUACAGUCUUACAUGCUCGCAAUGGCUGACUGGUUAUCUGGCAAUCUGUAGAAAGUCUUUCUAUAACACACAACAUACAGUGUAUUUUUUCUCAGCAUCUCAGGUGCCUAUUUCUGAGUGAGAGAAAUCAGAAGAAUUAGGUGUGCUUGCACUUUGUGCCUCACCACUGCCAACCAUAGUGAUCAGACCGUGCUUGUGCAAUAGCAUUGUGUUGGCCAGUUUUGGGUGCAGCAUGUUGUUAACACUGUGCUGUGUUCGAUCUUUUUAUGCUAGAGUGAGCAAUGAGGCUGUUAUGAAGCUGUUCCUUAUCUAUAGUGUACUCUACCUGCAAGAAAGAUUAGUACCCUCCGUGGGGUAGAUGUUAUGUACAAAACAUAAAUUAUAGGUAUAGUGGCUGUGUGAAUGAGGAAGUCAGAGCUUCCUUCCUCCACACCAUGCAGUUCUUUGCAUAGUAUGUUAUCCUGCUGCACAUAUCUGAUACAGAGUGGCAGUCUCAGUGCCACAGGUUGUGUUGUAUUGCAAGGAUGCCUCAGAAUAUCAUUAUAUGUAAUGAGGUCAUUGGUUUCAAUGUAAUGUGAAGUUCCCACGUUUUUCUGGUGGUAUUGAACUAAUACACUUCCCGUCAAAAGCAAUUUGAAGAUUUGUUUCGUAAGCUUGAUUCUGUUUGUUGGUAAUUAUGCUUAACACACUAUUAACAAACAGUACAUUGAUUUUAUUAUGAAUACUUAAGUAAAAUUUUACAAACAAAAAUACACUCACUCACACAUACAAUUUGGAGAACAAUCUCUGUUGGUAGUUCUAGGGAACUCACAGACAUUCAAGGAAAUGCGAUUGCCACAUAACUUGUUUAGUGGCUGUGCAGGAAAUGUCUUGAAGCACUGCAUAUACACACACAAAAUUUACACAUUUAAUCCUUGAUUGUAAAAUACACAUCAUAUUGUUUCUUCUUUUCACUUGAAUUGCUUGGACCUUGUGAUGUGCCUUUUUAUUAUAUCCAUCAAUGAAAUUUGUAGAGGUUGCUGUUUUUCAUUUUGAACACAUUUGUACACAGCACCUUACUUAUCUCAUUCUGCAGCAAACUAUGCUUCUGCAAGCCAUAAAUGUAUGAACCAGAGUUAACAGUAAAAAAGAUAAACUUACUGCUUUGUUCAAACUAAACUGUACCUGCAUUUAUACCCUGAGGAUUGUAUAAGGAUACAUGUGCCUAAAUAUCAUCACACCACACACUGUAUGUGAUUUGAGUAGAGAUUGUAGAAAUAUGACAUACAAAAAUCAUAUUAUUGCAUGAUUGUGGAACUUUUCUCCCUUUGCUUCUAUAAAAUAACGUGAAGUUAAAUUUCUCAUACAAGUCUUCAUUUUCUAUCUUGCAAGGCAUAUUUUUGCAGAAAUGCAGCUCUGGAUAAAGAUGUGUGAAAGGUCUAUGUAAAAUGCCUAAGUUCACACAGUCAUGACACUGCAUAAUCACUCUUUAACUUCUCCACUUAGUGCUUAAGUUGUUGGACAGUUACACAAUGUUCUUUUGGUAGGACACUGUUUCACUUUAUGUUGCUACAUUUGAACUUUUUAUGUUCCUGUAGCUGAGUUAAAGCUUUUUGAAGUGGAAUGUCUAGAGCUUCCUUCCACUUCACUGGUUGCAAUCAAAUUUAUGCCACAGGGUGCACUUUCUGAGCCUCUGUAGUGUCAGUUUUGGAUUAGUGAAUUUCUCAUUCGUUUUAGGGAACUAUGCAUGUCGCAGGUGACAGUGGCAGUUUACAUAUUAGCGGCCUUUUUCACAUUCUUGCACUAACUGAAUUAUGCUCCAAACUAGAAUUUCACUUGGUCUGUCUUCUUUGAAAGCGUAUGCAAUGACCAAAAAUUCCAAACACUUUCUACUUGUCUGCUUUAUAAAGAGGAGCAAUUCAAGUUUGCUGUAUUGUUUCCCCCCUGGAUUUCAGUUGUUGAUUUGCUGGAAUUAUCUGAAAACCUCAGAAUUUUUUUAAAAUCUCAGUGUCACAUAUGCCUAUAAUUCUUAUAAAAUUUGUUUUGUUUAUUUAACGUAUCUGCAUUUAUCGGCGACUUUCUGUUCUGUGUUAAGGUGCAAAGUAGAAGUAAUAGCACCCUGUCACUGAAUUA